rnacentral:lncRNA from 1 species
GAACCAAUGACACUGCAAGCAAUACACUCCAGAAGAUCAAAAGAGACUACGAGGCUCUGGGCAGGAAAUUGAAGCAAUUAAAUGCACAAAUUGUCAUCUCAUCUGUCCUCCCAGUUGAAUGACGUGGCCCAGGGAGAGAGGGGAAAAUAGUGGAAGUGAACAGCUGGCUUCGCAAAUGGUGUAAACAGGAACGGUUUGGAUUCUUAGAUCACGGACUGCAGUUUCUUGAAGAUGGACUUCUGGCAAGCGAUGGGCUGCACCUCACAACGGUUGGGAGGAAUGUUUUUGCCAAAAAUCUCAGAAACCUCAUCAGGAGGGCUUUAAACUGACUAAUGUGGGGAGGGAGACAGUGCUCCUGAAGGUAGGAGUCUAUCAAUUGAUGAAGAUGAUCAUCCAAAUGUCAUAGACCAAAUGGAGCAAACAGCACGCAGACCUAGUGGUGGGAGGAAAAAAUCCUUAAAUAAGAGUCACGGGGGAAUGAUUAAUGGACUUCAAUGUCUGUACACUAAUGCGCAAAGCAUGGGAAAUAAACAAGAUGAGCUUGAGCUCUUGGUACAGCAAACUAAAUAUGACAUAAUAGGCAUCACUGAAACCUGGUGGGAUAAGUCCCACGAUUGGAAUGUAAUAAUGGGGGAUACAAUCUAUUUCAGAGAAACAGACCAGACAAGAAAGGAGGAGGAGUGGCGUUAUAUGUCAGGGAUGUGUAUACCUGUGAAGAGAUCCAAGAUUUAGAACCUCAAAGCCAAAGUGAGAGCAUUUGGGUCAAAAUUAAGGGAGAGAAGAAUAACAGUGACCUCAUUGUGGGAGUUUACUAUAGAUCCCCAAGCCAAACGGAGGACGUAGAUGAUGCCUUCCUGGAACAGAUGGCCAAGCAUGCAAAAGGAAGGGAGAUAGUAGUAAUGGGGGACUUCAAUUACCCGGAUAUUUGUUGGAUGUCAAACUCAGCCAAGAGCAUAAGGUCAAACAGAUUCCUCACUGGCCUUGCAGACAACUUCAUUGUCCAGAAAGUGGGAGAAGCAACAAGAGGAACAGCCAUUUUAGAUCUGGUCCUAACCAAUGUUGAUGACCUGGUUAGUGGGGUAGAAGUGGAAGGAUCAUUAGGCGCGAGUGAUCAUGCUCUUCUGAAGUUUACUAUACAGCGGAAAGGAGCAGCCAAGCAUACUAGGACUCAAUUUCUUGACUUUAAGAAAGCUGACCUCAUAAAACUUAGGGAAGUGCUGGGUGAGAUCCCAUGGACAGUAAUACUAAAAGGAAAGGGAGUUCAUGAUGGCUGGGAGUUUGUUAAGAGGGAGAUACUAAAAGCACAACAUCAGGCAAUACCAAUGAGACAGAAACAUGGAAGGUGCCUAAAGAAGCCAGGGUGGCUAUCUAAAGAACUUUUAACUGAGUUAAGAUUAAAAAGGGAUGUGUACAAAAAUGGAAAAGGGGGGAAACCACCAAAGAGGAAUUCAAACGAAUAGCCAGCACGUGUAGACACAAAGUCAGAAAAGCUAAAGCACAGAAUGAACUCAGGCUUGCUAGAGAGGUUAAAAGCAACAAAAUAGGCUUUUAUGGGUAUGUCCGUAGCAAAAGGAAGAACAAAGAAACAGUGGGGUCACUCAGAGGAGAAGAUGGUGAAAUGCAAACAGGGGACACAGAAAGAGCUGAACUCCUCAAUGCCUUCUUUGCCUCAGUCUUCUCCGAUAAAGAAAACAAUGCCCGACCUGAAGAAUUUGGAGCAAAUGAUUCAGCAAAGGAAACACAGCCCAGAAUAACUAAGGAGAUAGUACAAGAAUACUUGGCUAGUUUAGAUGUAUUCAAGUCUCCAGGGCCAGAUGAACUGCAUCCAAGAGUAUUAAAAGAACUGGCAGAUGUGAUCUCAGAACCACUGGCAGUCAUCUUUGAGAAUUCCUGGAGAACAGGCGAAGUCCCAGCAGACUGGAGGAGGGCAAAUGUUGUCCCUAUUUUCAAAAAGGGGAAAAGAGAGGACCCAAAUAAUUACCGCCCAGUCAGUCUGACAUCAAUACCAGGGAAGAUUCUGGAGCAGAUCAUUAAGCAAACAGUCUGUGAGCACCUAGAAAGGAAUGCUGUGAUCACCAAUAGUCAGCAUGGAUUUCUGAAAAGAAGUCAUGUCAGACUAACCUGAUCUCGUUUUUUGACAGAAUUACAAGCCUGGUAGAUGAAGGGAACGCAGUGGAUGUAGCCUACCUUGAUUUCAGCAAGGCAUUUGACAAGGUGCCUCAUGAUAUUCUUGUAAAGAAGCUGGUAAAAUGCGGUCUUGACUAUGCUACCACUCAGUGGAUUUGUAACUGGCUGACUGACCGAACCCAAAGGGUGCUCAUCAAUGGUUCCUCUUCAUCCUGGAGAAGAGUGACUAGUGGGGUGCCACAGGGUUCUGUCUUGGGCCCGGUCUUAUUCAACAUCUUUAUCAACGACUUGGAUGAUGGACUCAAGGGCAUCCUGAUCAAAUUUGCAGAUGACACCAAAUUGGGAGGGGUGGCUAACACCCCAGAGGACAGGAUCACACUUCAAAACGACCUUGACAGAUUAGAGAACUGGGCCAAAACAAACAAGAUGAAUUUUAACAGGGAGAAAUGUAAAGUAUUGCACUUGGGCAAAAAAAUGAGAGGCACAAAUACAAGAUGGGGACACCUGGCUUGAGAGCAGUACAUGUGAAAAGGAUCUAGGAGUCUUGGUUGACCACAAACUUGACAUGAGCCAACAGUGUGACGCGGCAGCUAAAAAAGCCAAUGCAAUUCUGGGCUGCAUCAAUAGGAGUAUAGCAUCUAGAUCAAGGGAAGUAAUAGUGCCACUGUAUUCUGCUCUGGUCAGACCUCACCUGGAGUACUGUGUCCAGUUCUGGGCACCACAGUUCAAGAAGGACAUUGACAAACUGGAACGUGUCCAGAGGAGGGCAACCAAAAUGGUCAAAGGCCUGGAAACGAUGCCUUAUGAGGAACGGCUAAGAGAGCUGGGCAUGUUUAGCCUGGAGAAGAGGAGGUUAAGGGGUGAUAUGAUAGCCAUGUUCAAAUAUAUAAAAGGAUGUCACAUAGAGGAGGGAGAAAGGUUGUUUUCUGCUGCUCCAGAGAAGCGGACACGGAGCAACGGAUCCAAACUACAAGAAAGAAGAUUCCACCUAAACAUUAGGAAGAACUUCCUGACAGUAAGAGCUGUUCGACAGUGGAAUUUGCUGCCAAGGAGUGUGGUGGAGUCUCCUUCUUUGGAGGUCUUUAAGCAGAGGCUUGACAACCAUAUGUCAGGAGUGCUCUGAUGGUGUUUCCUGCUUGGCAGGGGGUUGGACUCGAUGGCCCUUGUGGUCUCUUCCAACUCUAUGAUUCUAUGAUUCU